GCAGAGAGCUGCACAGGUAUCCAGCAGCAGUGCUCCUGGUCCCCGCUAGUCUACCUAGCGACACUUGCCUCUCUCUCUGCGUGAUUACGACUGGAGUGUGUGUGGAGGUGGGAGCCUCGGCGAAUCCACCCCGCAUCAACAUAUCCCGCUCAGGUCACCCCUACCGGCAUUUUCCAUCUCCCGUCUCCGAAGAUGAUACCUGGCAAACGAAGAGCUGCAGUCAUGUCCUUCUCGGUGGCGAUAUUUGGAGCCCUGAUGCUGCAGUCCGUCUCGUCCCAGAACGAGCCGUCAAUCGCCAGCUCUGAACACACCACACUUCCUGUGGAAGGCGACGUUUACAUUCUGCAGUGCAACCUGACCAGCGCCCACGGUGCCCACCAGGAGAGCUACUGGAUGAAGAAUGGAGAGGAAAUCUCAGAAACACGCAGCCCGAAUAAGAACACCGAGUACAAGCUGAACAAACCAAGAGGAGACGCCGCCGGAGUGUACAUGUGUGUCUACACCUUCCAGAUGUCUCCUCCAGCAAACGCCACCAUCGAAGUUAAAUCUGCUCCUGACAUUAUAGGCCACAAGCGUAGUGAGAACAAGAACGAGGGCCAGCUUGCUGUGCUCUACUGUAAGUCUGUGGGCUACCCUUAUCCUGUCUGGACCUGGCGCAAGUUCGAAAACGGCAUGCACAGGGAAAUUGACAACUCUAGCGGACGCUUCUCCAUCAACAGCAGAGACAACUACACCGAGCUCCACAUUAUCAACCUGGACAUUAAUUUAGACCCAGGCGAGUACCACUGCAACGCCACCAACAUGCUCGGCAGCAGCGACCAGAAGAUCGUGUUAAGGGUUCGCAGUCUCCUGGCCCCCCUAUGGCCUCUUCUGGGGGUUUUGGCUGAGAUCAUCAUCCUGAUCGUCAUCAUUGUCGUUUAUGAGAAGCGUAAGAAGCCGGAGGAUUUACAAGACGGUGAGUCACCCGGACCGUUUUAUUAUUCUACUGUUUUUAUUAUAGAGGAGGGGUUUUAUUGUUCAGCUUUGAUAUGUAUAUGCGGUUGAUUUUGUGCCUUCCAAAUCCCUGUCAGCGUGGUACGACUGUGAGAGGAGGCGCACUCUGUUUUUCGGUGUCCGCUUGAGUCAUUCCUUCGCAAGAGACACCGGCAGAGUCACCUGACACUGUGCAGAGCCUGCAUUCAAUAAUUAAGUCUGGCGAGGUUGACCCAACAGGCAGACACUGUUGCAGGAGGUCGCACCUUGUCAGGACAAUUUUAUGCAUUUAAUAUUCAUGAGAAAUAUGAUACUGCAGUGUUGCGGAGGUGGACAGUUUCAAUUAUUAACAGCUUUCCAGGGACCUUGUGCUGUCCCUGAGCUGCUGCAAGCUUAACCACGAGACACAUCAUUUAGCUACACAACCUGGGAUUUUCCAAUACUACCGAGUACUUAAUUUUCAAGAGUCUCCAUAUAUCAUAAAUUAUGCAUUAAUGGUAUUUGGCUGACCUUUUUCUCUCAAACAGAAUUUUGAUGUUGUCACAUGCUGAUUAGAUGCAACGUGCAGCGAAUGACUGACAGCUCGGAGCUGUCGGUGGCAGCACAGGCACAGGACUGUUUUGUCAUUAUGGUUCAUUACAUGGUGUUUAAGUCACCUUGAGAGUCCUCACAGUCUUACAAAAUGGAUGCAGAUUGUGUGAAUCAUGCAGCGAAUUCUUGCAUGAAAUGUUAAUGCUUCAUACAAAGGUUAGUGAUGGCUGUUUGAUUAUUUUAACAGAUUGUUAUAAUAUCUCCCAUCCUCCCCCUUUUUCCCCUAAAUUGCAAAACCCUUAACCUUGUUUGUGGUAAGUGUGAGACUUUGCAUGCUUCAUGAGUUAUAAUAAGCAUUCAGCCUCAUCUUCUUCCAGUUCACAGCACAGCAACAGAGUGUCAAGUGCCAUUCAAAAUGCUCCGUUUUUAAGAUUUUAUUUUAAAAACCCUACCUUCAUGUAUUUGCACUGCAGCGGUGAGAUGGCAUGCAAGUCACCGUAAAAAAACCCUGAAAAUAUUUUGUGUUUUUCAAUCAAUUCUACCAUCUCUGUUUCACGCUGCUUCUAUGACUUCAUUACCCUCAUUCGAGGGGUGAUAUUAAUGCAGCUGCUCCUCACUAAUCUCUCUCAGUGAACAGCUGUUCUUUGUGAGCGUCUGUGCAUGACAACAGUAUUUUUUUUAAAAUAUGAAUUUUGCCUGUAUGUAAUUGUUUUAAUGGCAUUGUGCUACAUUUGACUGCAUUCUGUGUGUUUGUGAGUGGCCUCAUGAGGUGGUUUUUCCUGCGGCAUGACAGCCUGAUGUUUACUAUUUUGUUACUUCAUCACGGCAACGUCUUCAUUCCAUAACAAGUCUGCACAUACAGUUUCAAUAUAAAAACUCUUCAAAACAUCAAGUGCACCAUUCGUGAGUCCCAGCUAUAGUUCUCAAUGCUGUAUGUUUCUGUUAAAAAAACAAAAACAAAAAACCCUUUAUGAACGUAUGCAACUUCCUUGCGAUUAUUCUAUUUUCUUGGUCUUCAUUUCUCCAUAUUUUCCCUUGCUGCCUCAGAUGAUGACCACGCAGGCCCUGUGAAAACUAACUCGACCAACAACCACAAAGACAAGAAUCUCCGCCAGAGGAAUACCAACUGAGCAGCCUGUCUGCUGAGUUUUGGUCCACCUGUAUUGACCACAUGAAGGUAAACAAGAGGGGAAUCCAUGCCAGUUGUUAAUAGGAUGUAUCUGCCAUUACGAGUCUGGUUGUGGAGAAGUUCAAUGAGGCAUGCCUUAUGAUUUUGUUGUGUGAGGGUGCAAAUAUGGAAUAUGGAAUUGUUAACAUUAUAACCAUUGUUGCAGCAUGCAGUUGUUGAAGUUCAUGAUUUUUCCCUCUUAUCCACUAAUUUUACAUUUUUACUACUUCUAAAAUAAUGCAUGCAAGAUAUUGACCUUCUGUUUGAUACAGAAAUGGCUUUUUUUCUCUCUUUUCUUUCUUUUUUUUUUUUUUUUUUUGCUCUUUACUCUGAGAGUGGCUUUAAUUAGAUAGCCUGUACUGUGUGUUCUAGAAGAAAAACAAAACUCGGCAAUGUCAAAGAAAAUGCCGCCAUAAUCUGGUAUGACAGUUGUGUACAGUUUUAUCAUAUCCACUGAAUACCAUUUUAUCAGAAAAUAUAUAUUACAUUUUAAGGGCUUUGCAAUGUCCCUCUAAAUUUGAUUAAGAUUUACUUUACUGUAUGUACUGUAUGUAUUAAAUCACUAUAACUAUGUAUCAGAUCACCAUUAAUAUAAAGACUAUUCAUAUGAUAUGAUGCACUUAAAUGUUGAGGAUAAUGAAAAACUGUAUAAACCUACUUUAGAGAAUCUGUACUAAUCAUUCUAACAUAUUGUUUUAUAAUUACUGUAUGUGUAUUGUACAGCAUGGCUAUUAUCCUAUGCAAUUAUUAUCCAUAUCAAUAUAUUGAAAAUCAUUGCAGCUUUUGAUUUCUCUGUGACAAAGCUUUAAACUAGUAGGAUCACCGUAGAGCGUUGAUGGCAUACUACACGGCUGCAUGAAUUCUCUACAGCUGGCGUGGGAGGCGGCGAAAAGAAGCCCACGUCAGGACUGACACACGUGAAGCAAUUCCAAGAUCCCCGACUCAUUUUUAAGAAUAAAUAUCUGAAAAAAGAAA